CAAUAGCGUAUAUUAAAGUUGUUGCAGUUAAAAAGCCCGUAGUUGGAUUUCUGGCAGGAGCGACCGGUCACACACUCUGUGUGUGAACUUGCGUUGUCUCUGGCCAUCCUUGGGAAGAUCCUGUUUGGCAUUAAGUUGUCGGGCAGGGGAUACCCAUCGUUUACUGUGAAAAAAUUAGAGUGUUUAAAGCAGGCUUAUGCCGUUGAAUAUAUUAGCAUGGAAUAAUAAGAUAGGACUUCGGAACUAUUUUGUUGGUUUGCGUUACGAAGUAAUGAUUAAUAGGGACAGUUGGGGGUAUUCGUAUUUCGUUGUCAGAGGUGAAAUUCUUGGAUUUCCGAAAGACGAACUACUGCGAAAGCAUUUACCAAGGAUGUUUUCAUUAA
rnacentral:rRNA from 1 species